rnacentral:rRNA from 1 species
UACAGAGGUCUCAAGCGUUGUUCGGAUUCAUUGGGCGUAAAGGGUGCGUAGGCGGCGCGGUAAGUCGGGUGUGAAAUUUCGGAGCUUAACUCCGAAACUGCAUUCGAUACUGCCGUGCUUGAGGACUGGAGAGGAGACUGGAAUUUACGGUGUAGCAGUGAAAUGCGUAGAGAUGUGGAGGAACACCGAUGGCGAAGGCAGCCCCCUGGGCUAACACUGACGCUCAGGCACGAAAGCGUGGGGAGCAAACAGG